rnacentral:piRNA from 1 species
UAACAUUUGAGAAGAGUCUGGUAGUCGAGG